rnacentral:rRNA from 1 species
UACGUAGGGGGCAAGCGUUGUCCGGAAUCAUUGGGCGUAAAGAGCGUGUAGGCGGCCAGAUAAGUCCGCUGUGAAAUCUCGAGGCUCAACUUCGAGCUGUCGGUGGAAACUGUCUGGCUAGAGUCCGGAAGAGGAGAAUGGAAUUCCUGGUGUAGCGGUGAAAUGCGCAGAUAUCAGGAAGAACACCCGUGGCGAAGGCGGUUCUCUGGGACGGUACUGACGCUGAGACGCGAAAGCGUAGGGAGCGAACAGG